rnacentral:tRNA from 1 species
GGGAUUGUGGCUCUGUGGUAGAGCGCUUGCCUAGCAUGUGUGAGGCCCUGGGUUUGAUUCUCAGCACCA